AAGCUUCCGCGCAGCCAGAGCCCUAGUCAGGCCGCUUCGGAGGACGAGCAUGGCGGGGCUUCGAGCGCUGCGAAGGCCAGCCAGCCGGUCCAGCUCAUGCAGAUCUACAGAAGGAAGGAGGAGAGGUGGAUCGAAUGCUGUCCCCGCUGAGUAGGAAAGAGGCAGUAGCUCUACAUGUAAACUCUAGAUGCUUAUAUUUUGGUGACAUUCCUGGAUACAUUAGUGGACGCAAUGUUUUGCAGUUGAAAGUGAAGUGAAGUACCAGUGAUAUUUUAAAACCUUUUAUUAAUAAAUGCAAUUAUUUUCUAAAA